CACACAGAGACACAGAGUUGUGGUGUUUGCAUGUGUGUGCUGUGUCACUGCUGCACACACUUUAAGAGCUGUAGUGCUGAUCAGAGUGUGUUCAGUCCUUUCAGAGCCACUGACACGCAGCACAAUGAUGAUGGUACUGAUUCUACUGCUGGGGACACUGGGACUCCUCGCUCACCAGUCCUUUGGGGAAAUCGUCCUGACUCAGUCUCCAGGAUCUCAGUCUGUUUCUCCAGGACAAUCUGUUACUCUCACCUGUACAGCCAGUCAGGGUGUUUACAGUAACCUCCACUGGUACCUGCAGAAACCUGGAGAAGCUCCUAAACUCCUGAUCUAUGCUGCAACUAAUCGUCAGUCUGGGAUUCCAGGUCGUUUCAGUGGCAGUGGAUCUGGUUCACAAUAUAAUCUAAAAAUCUCUGGAGUUCAGUCUGAAGAUGCAGGAGAUUAUUACUGUCAGCAGGAUGACACCACUCCGUGGACUUUCGGUGGAGGAACCAAACUCAUCAUCAAAACCGGUCCCACGGUGAAGCCCUCCGUGUCUCUGCUCCCUCCCUCCUCUCUGCAGCUGUCUGAGGGAUCGGCCUCACUGCUCUGCCUGCUGUCUGCCUACUCUCCACAGGGGGCGCUGGUGAGCUGGACAGUGGACGGCUCAGAGGUGAAGAACGGGGUUCUGACCAGCGCAGAAGAACACAAGAAGGACGGUUACACACGCAGCAGCACCCUGACCCUCAGCAAAGCACUCUGGGAAAAGGGGGAGGAGUUUGUCUGUACCGUCUCCCAUGACGGCGUCAAUCAUCCGGUCACGUUCAGAAAGAGCCAGUGUGAAGGCUAACAGCUCCAAGAUAGAAUUCAACACUCAGCUGCUUACACAUCCAUCUACAAUAGAGUUUCAAUUCUACACAAUGCUGACAUUUCUGUCUUUACUCUCUUCACUGUCCUGUUGCUCUUCCUGUAGUUUUGCUCUGCUGAAAUAAAGCUUCAUUUUGGA